rnacentral:lncRNA from 1 species
CAAGAGUCAUGUCCUCGGUAACCUGCAUUCUGGCCAUGUCCUGCCUAAUCACCUCUCCCCAAUGCUUCUUAGGCCUCCCUCUCCCUCGACGACCACCAACAAUCUCCAACCGCUCGCAGCUCCUCACCGGGGCAUCAGAGCCCCUCUUCCGAACAUGCCCGAACCACCUCAGCCUCGCUUCCCGCAUCUUUUCGUCCACCGGGGCCACCCN